ACUGUAUGGAUGGCACAGGAAGAGAACAAGAGUACAAGAACAUGAAACAUCUUAUUAUGAAUGUAUAUGUAUGUGAUCCUCAAAAAAUUAUUUUUCAAAACAAGAUAGAGAAAGAGCUUUAAAAUCCCAAGGAUCCUGCAAAAUGUUUAUUUGGUGUACUAGUCGAAUAAUAGUAUCUAAAAAUAUCGAAACUGGUUUAAAACACAUUAUGGGCAUGAGGAUGAUAUAGAGCACUUACAUAAAUACCAAAAUCAGAUAAAUAUCUCUUCAAAGUUUAUUUUGAGACUUUCUUCAAAAAUUAAACUUCAGACUGUUCAGGAUAGCAUAAUAGCAUAGGAGGCGAAUUAAAAAGAAUUAAUUUACUUAAAAGAAAAGAUAUCACAAACAUUAAACUCUCUUAUGGCAUUGAUUUGAAAGAUGGGUAUAUGUACAAUGAUGAUGCAACCAGUGUUUAUUUUUGGGUUGAAUACUUACAGACUCAUGUCCAAUAUUAUUUUACAAACAACAGGGCAUACUAAUGGAUAUUCAUUCUGAAUUUAACAUUUAUGAUUUUUGUCUUAUUUUCCUUAAUACUGUGCCAAAAGGAAAUGUUAAUUAAGUUUGGCAAAUCCUUUAUCACAAUCGAUGGAACUCAUGGGCUCAAUUCCUAUGACUUUGAACUUAUGACAGUAUUAGUAAAAGAUGAAUUUGGGAAUGGAUUUUGUACUGCUUUCUUAUUUUCAAAUAGAAAACAUACCUACUUUAAUUUACCAAUUUUUUUAAAUACAUGUCUGUGUUGGUAUUAUAUGUAUAGUCAAAUGUUUUCAUAUCAGGCAUAAGUGACACCUUUUACAAUGCCUCGUCAAAUGUAAUGGGUAUUGCUCCUAAUAGACUGUUAAGUGCCUGGCACAUAGAUAGGGCAUGGUAAGUAAAUCUUAAUAAAAUAUCUGAUUCUG